UGUUGGCUGCAGUUCGGUAUCGGAAUUUUCCGCUUCAAAUCGCGUGUGUCCGUGUUUUUGUCACAUCCGGCGCUGUCUCAAGAAGGUGAACGAGUUCUGGGUGUUGGAUGGACAAAUCCUAACCGAAUCGGAUCGAAUGUUGAACAAGGAUAACCAGGCUCAGCGCCUGUUGCCGUCGAGGGUUCGUUCCGGAUGGUGAUCACCAACAUGAAACGCAGCUCGUUUUCUUCAAGGACCAUUGAAAAGCGUGGACGUGCUGGGAUCGAGUGGCGGGGAGGCCAUCCCUGCAAAAGUCUUCUCGUUCUCGUAAAUACCGAAUCUGGCCUCGUGACUGUCGAGAACCUGAAGCAUGAUUAAAGUGCCACCUGCGACAUGUAUUAAAUCUUCCGGAAGCAGCACGUUGAGGCUGCUAGGCGGACUUUUUGAGGCAAAAAUCGUAGCAUCAAACAAAUCAGUAGAUCAAUCCGGAAACCGGAGAAGGGACCGUUGGUUAGUACGGACGCACCAUUCGCUCGGAGAGAACCAAGAUCCGGACCGGCUUCAGCUGAUCGAGAGCUUGAAAUUAAAUCGCGAAAGAAAACGUCAAGAAGA